UACGUAGGGUGCGAGCGUUAAUCGGAAUUACUGGGCGUAAAGCGUGCGCAGGCGGUUCGUUAUGUCUGAUGUGAAAGCCCCGGGCUCAACCUGGGAAUUGCAUUGGAAACUAGCGGGCUGGAGUGUGGCAGAGGGGGGUGGAAUUCCACGUGUAGCAGUGAAAUGCGUAGAGAUGUGGAGGAACACCGAUGGCGAAGGCAGCCCCCUGGGCCUGCACUGACGCUCAUGCACGAAAGCGUGGGGAGCAAACAGG
rnacentral:rRNA from 1 species